rnacentral:sRNA from 1 species
CUGCUGCAGCAUGUGCUGGUGAUGCUGCAUUGCGGCCAUCAGAGCCAGUUGCUGCUGUGGGUGGUGCAGCGCACAGACGGGCGGCACAAUCUGUGCCCCCUGCGGCGGAGUUGCGGUCUGCUGCAACAACGGGGGCGAUGCCGGCAGUGAACAGUUGGAGGAACCACCGUCCGAAGGUGAAUGUUGCUGCUGCUGCUGCUGCUGCUGCAGUUGUUGCUGCUGUGGUUGAUGCUGCUGAUGCUGCUGAUGCAGUUGUUGCUGCUGUGGUGGCGGUUGGGUUGCAGUUGCCACUGUUUGCUGCAUGUGUUG